UAUUAGUUCAUUUAAAAAUAAAAAGUGUAAUUGAAGUGGCAAAGUGGGAUGCGUUUCAGUCCAAGUUGCUUUAUUUAAGAGAACUAAAGGAUGCCUUUCCAAGAUAGGGUUCUCAUCUUUUGGUGUUGAGUUAGUUUCUCUCUGGUCUUUUCUUUUUUCUUUUUAUCUAUUUGAAGAAGAUGGAUCUGUACUUGAAGAUGUGAUUUAUAAGUGGUCUUGGCAAUGAUUGUCAUAAUUUAACUUGUAAAAAUUCAUAAUAUAAUGUAACGGCUUACAUAUUUAUUAUUAUUAUUAUUAUUAUUAUUAUGUUGAUAUAACUUUAUGAAUAACUUUCGAGGUUGAUUA